rfam:Psychroflexus salarius strain DSM 25661 genome assembly, contig: Ga0131153_105
UAACCUCUGACGAAGAUCGUGAAUGUUA